rnacentral:ncRNA from 1 species
GCAGAGUAGGUACACCUGUGCUGGUCCCCGUGUGGGACCUUCAGUGCCGGCGGAACGGGGAGUUGUCCGCCGGACGAACAGCGCCCUCCCAGUGGGAGGGGGCGGCAGUGGGUGGUCCGCAUCCCGCUGC